ACAGCAGGGAACCUAUGCACACUUGGCUUUUGGGUGGUUACCGAAGGGCUCUCCCUGGUGCUGCAGAUGCAUACAGGGAGCCACUGGAGUGACAUGAAUCUAAUCAGGGGCUGAUGCCACAUCAGAAAUCCCAUCAAGUUAUCUUCCAGUCCCAACAAGCUUUCCCCUGAAACAAACCAUCUUGUCAUGGCUUGGAGAGCCCCUGCAUAUAUUGUGUUCCCAGCAGGGUUUCUUAAUGGGCUCAGUAGUCAGAAACUGAAUUUUAUUUUACAAACCACAGACAAAAAAC